CUCUCCUCUAGGUCUAGUCGGGGAACACAUCUGGUCAGCUCUCCUCUAGGUCUAGUCUGAACACAUCUGGUCAGCUCUCCUCUAGGUCUAGUCUGAACACAUCUGGUCAGCUCUCCUCUAGGUCUAGUCGGGGAACACAUCUGGUCAGCUCUCCUCUAGGUCUAGUCUGAACACAUCUGGUCAGCUCUCC